UUUAUUUUGGCAGAGUAUGCAUAUGACUUAGAAUCAUAAUAUAGUAGUUACCUACUAAAUUUAA
rnacentral:tRNA from 1 species